rfam:Capsicum annuum cultivar Zunla-1 chromosome 1, whole genome shotgun sequence
UGAUGAUGGUGAGGGAAAUUUUUGAGCAUACCCUUAAAUCUCUCCCAAUCUUGGUAGAGUUUCUCUCUGUCUUUCUAACUAAAAUUCAAGAUCUCACUCCUCAAGCA